CAAGCACAUCUAUCUACUUGAUCUGUCAUGGGCAGAUUUACAGGUGCUGGCUUUGACUGCUGCUGGCUGGCUGUGUGUUAGCUCAAAUGAUGCAUGGCAGAGCAGGGCCACCCUGCUAGGGGGAAAGGCACUUAAUCUCAGUGAUCUGCCCUGGGAUCAUAACCACUUUGGAGGUAGGCAGUUGAUCAUAGUGGAAUUUAUUAUGUCAAAAUUUUUCCCAAAGAGCAGAAACUUUCAAGGAGUAGUUACAUUUGGCCCUUUGAAGGCAACUAUGAGGCUGAUGUGGCCCCCAGUGAAAAUGAGUUGUACACCCGUGGCGUAAGCUGAUAAGGGGACAGGAUUAAGGGAACCUGCCUGCAAGGCUGGUCAGCUUUUUCUGGGUGCUAAGGCUAAACUGUGGAGAUGACCUGUAGCUGUAGAGCAACAGCCAGGCUGGUGGCUCAGCAGGAAUUGUUUUCAGCUGUGAAAGGGCAGAGAUUGUCCAUGGAGGUGGUAGUGAAGCUACUACUGAAUCAGCACAGUGCUUGAAAAGUAAUAGAUCAAGCCAAGCUUGUCUUACUUCCAUAUGCGAAGACAGUUUGAAAAGCCAAGAGUAUUUUCCUUAAUGGCUACCUAUUUCUCACAAAGCAGGUGGUUUCAACCAGGAUAGUGGCCACGUGAAGGUGCCUUCAGAAACAGAGGAGGUGACAAAGCCUGGGGCUUGCUGGAGGCACCAUUUCUGAGUAAUGCUGCUGGAUUGAAGAUCUACACAAGCUCAAAUCCUGAUUAUCCUGAGCACCUGUGUUAUUCUGGGGUCCUGGGACCAGCUCCUCUGGUUGCCAAUCAUGCAAGUACAGAACUGGGCAUUUCAUUUACAGCCCAACUGCAGAAACUUGGCAGUGUUCCAGAGCUAAGCCUUUGACCAUGUGGGUUUUCUGUGCAUGAUUGAAUCACAAUAUUUCCCCUGGAUCUAAAGCCAAAAAGGACCAUUAACUCUUCUAGGCUGGCCACCUGCAUGGUACAGAUCAGUGACUCCCACCCAGCACCUUCUGCUUCAUGCCUGAAAGCUUCCGACUGAGCUGUGAUUUCCUUGUCAGAAGAUGUCUCAUCUUGGUAUAAAUAUCGAUAGUGAUGGAGAACACUGUGCCCUGUGGCAAUCUGUCCAGGUGUUUAAGCACCCCUCACUGCUAAGAAUCUGUCUCCCCAGCAUGCAUGAGAGCCGAGAUCCUUUUUGGUCCCCAUGGAUGCAGAUGGCUGGUUGAUGAUUUGCCUCAAGCUCACCAUUCUGCCCACAUCUUGCUGUAGAUAUUUAGAGAAGAAAUACAUCCUCUGUGGAUGGCAAGACAUGCUUGUAUUAUUUUUGUUAGGGUGUUUUUCCAGUUCAAAGUAAUGACAGGGAUAUGUUUCAGCAUUCAAGAACAAUGUUUUCCUAGCACAAAAUUGAGCGUGUGUGGUAUAUAGGGCUGUGGGGAAGUGCAGCCUGCUGGGACAGUGUCAGAGGAUCACAGGGCCCAAAGUGACCUUGCCCAUGCAGAUGCUGGGAGUGGUCACCGAUGUGUGCUGUCCUUUGAGCCCUGUCCUGGGGAAAGAUGUGGCUGGUGCGGACCCAAACCAUACCUGUAGUGUAUUAAUGGUUAGGUAGUAUGGUCAAUUGAGGUUCUGAAGUUCAUCUUUCUCCUUGGCUCUGUUUUAUUUAACAGUCUAGACGUUGCAUUAGAAGUGGGGUUAAAAUUUAGCCCUUCGGAUGGAUUAUCCCUUGUUGGCCUGCUACCAGGUUUCAUCCAACUUUGUCUGAAGUGCCUGGCAAUGGUAAAGCUCUGAAGGAGGUCACUGGAGCAGAUGGAGCUAGGGUCUGAGCAAAAUUGAAAAUUCACAUGUUUCUGGCUUGGUCCUACUCAGAAAUGUGAAAAAUUGCCAGGUAUAUAGUGUCAGCUCUGUUUUCUCCAGCCCUGAUACAUUCUUUGUUGACUGACUGCCCUUUUGGAGGCACAUCAAGCUCUUGUGAAAGUGCCAUGAAUAGUGGAACACCUGACAGAGGACAGCACUUGCCUCCCUGGUAGCUCAUAGAUGCCACGUGUGACUCUGCGUUGGCAUUGCCAUAAAACUUGUUGAGCACAAAUACAAGGACAAGCAGAUCCAGGCCAAAUGCCCAUUGUAUUCUCUUGCCAAAAUAUGUUCAACCCAUCUGAGGACAAAGGAAGAAGGACCCCAGUUUUCUUGCUGCCUCUGAAUUACUGUGUGAGUGACUAGGAAAUGCUUGGCUCUGUGUGGAGAAGCUUCCUGUACUAGAAAUGGGAAACCUGACACAGUUUUGUCCUGCCCUGCUGUGGGUUGUUACUUGGUUUCUCACUGUGGUUUUCCUUCCCCUUGAGUUUUCUGCACUAAUUUUGUAAUAACAGUUAGUGCUGGGUUUCAUAACACAGACAUACAACAUGCAAUUAGAAAUUGCUUUGUGUGAAAUAAAGUAGCUGUGAGUCACAUCCAGACAAGUGAAUUAUCUGUGAUUAUUCAGCCAAGAAGGGAGACAGUGGUGAGCAGAGGAAUGUGCACACCAAGGGCUACACAUCAUUAUUAGCAUUUCCAUACUAUUUGGUAACAUAAGGAGGAAAGCAUGGCCAUAUACCACUGAGAUGCCUGUAAAUAAACAUCCAUGUGAUCAAGUCCUCAUGAGGAGGAAUAGGUGAUUUUCCUCUGGUCCUCAGACUUGUGCAUCCAAAGGAUGGGGCAGUAAUCUCGCUAGGUCUCUGUUUCUUAAAAAAAAAAAAAAGUCAAGGGGGCUUGGUGGGGAGGGUUAUAUGGCAGAUACAAAUAUCUUUUAGAGUUCUGAAGUUAUGUGAAGCAAAUGUUGUAUAUGGGGCUUUAGCCUAAAGAGGAACUAGGCGUCUUCAAGGGAAGAGAGGAAAUAAAUGAUUCCAGCACUGUCCUUGCUUGAUUCACCUAGUGAAUUUGUUCCUUUUCUCAUCUGGAAUGAAAGGUUGUGUUAGGAAGGGGCCCUUGGAUGUUCAGAAACAGCUGGGAGACCUUUGGAGGUGAAAACUUGCCAGCCCUAUGAAACAAGGUGGUUUCUGCAGUGGGAUCCCAGUAUGUUUUCUAUGUAUUUGCCAGAUAGGUAACUUGGGGGCUGUGACUGCAGUAGGGGAAGCACGGACUGGAGGGCAAUUUGCAUUUCCUGAGUGGCAGCUAAUCAGCCAGAGGGACAGCAACAGCCCACGGAAAACACACGGGCAGGGAGCAUGUCAGCCGCCUGCUUCGCACAGCUGCACACUUGUCAUGGGAAGGAUGAUGAUGUUUUUUUUUGAGGUGAAACCUGAGGUUCUUCUGCAAGGCGAGAGCUACAUACAGGAGGGAGCUGACAGCACUUGUUAAAGAGCAUCUUCACAGCCCUCAGUUCAUCGCUUCAACUGCCCAAAGUUUGUUUUCCACCCAUUGCAGACAAUCAAUUGACCCUUCCUCAGCCAGUCACAAAUGCCUCCAUCUGUAAAAUGGCAGUGAGAAAUGCUUAAUCUUCCAAGAUGAAUCUAACAGAUGCUUCUCCCAGGAAAUGAACUAAAGGUUGCAGCUUUGCUUGAGUGAUUGUGAGUCAGGUAUGAGUCAUUUCUCCCUGGAAGGGCGUCUGGAUUUGCUUUGCUGGUAAACACACAAAGAGCACAAAGCCUGGGGUGAAAGGUUAUCACAGGAAGGAGAAUUUAAAAAGAGGGGGGUGGAAAUGGAUUUUUUUUUUAAAAAAAAAAAAGGGAAAAAAUAAUCAACACCACCACACACCAACAAAAACCCCCCUCUGAGAUAUGCCAGUGUACCCCGAACCAUCUUCUGUGGUCUUCAGGAUGCAUUAGCUGAGGGGUUUUAAGACAUUAUCUCCCAACUUCCACUGUGUGCUAACCUGUAAAAAGCAUACAGGAGCCUUCUGUUUUAAAGGAAUGUGGGUACUUUUAUAAUAUCUGUUGUUUUGGUUGCUUCUGAUUGUUGCAGGUGUCUUGAGCCCGGGGAAUUUGGAGUUGUGAAUAAAACACAACAGUUGGUGCACACUAAAGCAAGGUGCUCAGAGUACAGAUUAAUGUCAGAGCCACUGAGUGUGAUAUCACAGAGCACUGGACACCCCAGUAACUGAUCUGUGUGGAAAAAAUAGUUGUUUGCAGGGGACAAUGUCUUACUGAAUGCCUUCCCAAACUGACCAUAAAUGAAGUUGGUGCAGAAAUUGCUGGCCAAAUUCACUUGGCCUUGUGCUAUGCAGAUCAGAAUAAAGGAUCACAAUAGUUCUGUUUGGCUUAAAAAAAAAAAAAAAAUACAAAAGGGGGCACUGAAAUAAAGAUUUGUGUGUAAAACUUGUUUUCUGGAGUAGACCACAACUGUUUUUAGACAAUUCUGUUAGCUCAGUGGUAAUCCCUGCUCCCAUACGACAUCAGAGGUAGGAAAGCUGGCUGCAGCAGCAACAAAUUAGCGUUAAUUGUGCUCCAUCUGAUGGAGCUAAUCCUAGCCAAGUGCAGCCAUACACCAAUUUUCAUAUAUUGCUCUUCUGACCAUUUUACUAUUAGGCUGUUUCUUAGUGACGUUCAUUUAUUCAUGGCAAAGGACCUACAAAAAGCAGCCUAGCAUCCUGCCUUAGGAAGCCAGUGGAAUGUGGUCCGUAGGAAGAGCUUGUAUCUUUUAACAGACUGACAGAUAGAUCAGGGAGGGGGCAGACAUGCUUGCCAGCACACAAGUCCAUUCCCAGGUCGGGAAUGGAAUAGGCUUCUUCCAAGUGCAGGCAGGUCUGGAACAAUUACUCUGGGUUCAACUUAAUUAUGCUAAUCAAUCAAGCAAUUAGAGGGAUAAGGGUGGCUGACUUGCAGGGAUGAAGAAACAGCUAGUGUUUUUGAGAGAAUAGUAAUUAGCUUAGCUUGGGCUGGGAGCAGAAGAGGUGGUGGGGAAGAUUAAAAAUCUCUGGUUGUGCCUAUGACUUUAGAUUUUGUGUGUGUGUGUGUGUAUGAUUUUUAGAUUUUUUGGGCUCAUCAAGAGCUUACACUUUGCCAUGUGGUAGGAUAGUCUGUGGAGAUGCUGUUUCUCCCAGCUGAUGUUGGCAGAUGCACAGAGUAGCAGUGUUCCUUGUUUUUACAUAUUUGUAUUGCAGGAGAUCCUCCUUCUCUCCCCAGGCUGAGAGAGAAACUCUAGCUCAUCCUCUGAGACCGAACAGGCUAUGGUGGUUUUUUGGUUGUUUUGGUUGUUGGGUUUUGUUUUGUUUUGUUUUUUAAUGAUUGCCAAACUGUUGCACGUAGCCCUGACCUGUAGAAAAACAAUACCUCGUGCCUCAGCUAUUCACAAACUGCCUUUCACUCACAGCUUUGUGCCAUGGGAUCAGAACUGCCUAGAGGAUGACAGUCAGGCCAGAAUGUGACCAAGCUUGGGAGGUUAACCCCUGUAGACCUGUGCUAUGGUGGAGUUAAGAGAUGC